CUACGGGAGGCUCCAGGCGAGAAAACUUUGCAAUGUGCGAAAGCACGACAAGGUUAAUCCGAGUGGUUUCUGCUAAAGGAACCUUUUGACAGUCCUAGAAACACUGUUGAAUAAGGGGUGGGCAAGUUCUGGUGUCAGCCGCCGCGGUAAAACCAGCACCUCAAGUGGUCAGGAUGAUUAUUGGGCCUAAAGCAUCCGUAGCCGGCUCUGUAAGUUGUCGGUUAAAUCUGUACGCUCAACGUACAGGCUGCCGGGAAUACUGCAGAGCUAGGGAGUGGGAGAGGUAGACGGUACUCGGUAGGAAGGGGUAAAAUCCUUUGAUCUAUUGAUGACCACCUGUGGCGAAGGCGGUCUACCAGAACACGUCCGACGGUGAGGGAUGAAAGCUGGGGGAGCAAACCGGAUUAGAUACCCGGGUAGUC
rnacentral:rRNA from 1 species